rnacentral:misc_RNA from 1 species
UACGAAGGGCGCAAGCGUUAAUCGGAAUUACUGGGCGUAAAGCGUGCGUAGGCGGUUUGUUAAGUCCGAUGUGAAAGCCCUGGGCUCAACCUGGGAAUGGCAUUGGAUACUGGUGAGCUAGAGUGCGGUAGAGGGUGGCGGAAUUCCCGGUGGAGCGGUGAAAUGCGUAGAGAUCGGGAGGAACAUCCGUGGCGAAGGCGGCCACCUGGACCAGCACUGACGCUGAGGCACGAAAGCGUGGGGAGCAAACAGG